UUUUUUAAGUUUUAAGUUAAAAUAUGCCCUGCUCUAUGAUAUAUUAUAUUAAAUAGCCGCAGUAUACUGACUGUGCAAAGGUAGCAUAAUCAUUUGGUUCUUAAAUAGGAUCUAGUAUGAAAGGGUUAACGAGAAUAAGCUGUCUUAAAAAAAAAAGUUUGAAUUUAAAUUUUUUGUAAAAAUGCAAAAAUUGAAUUAAGGGACGAUAAGACCCUAUAAAGCUUUAUUUUUUAGUAUUAUUUAAUUUUAAUCAUAUUAUAUUAUAUUAAAAAAUUUUACUGGGGCGGUAGUAUUAAAUGUAAACUAAAAUAAUAUUAUUAAAAGUUUGAUCCAAUUUUAUUGAUAAUUAGAUUAAGUUACUUUAGGGAUAACAGCAUAAUUCAUUUAGGGAGUCCAAAUCGAAAAAUGAGAUUAUGACCUCGAUGUUGAAUUAAAGUUUCUUUGAGGUGCAGGCGCUUCAAAUUGAUGGUCUGUUCGACCAUUAAAUCUUUACA
rnacentral:rRNA from 1 species